AACAACAACAAAGGGCGGCGGCGGCCGCUGAGACGGACGGCCUGUGGCGGCGGGCGACGGCCGGCGGCCAGGACGAAGAUGCCGCGCGACGGCCUUGCUCGAGGCCUCGAGGUGGAGGCUGCACUCACUGCGGAGGCAACAUGGGAAAUGAGGGAGGCUGUCGCAUCCAUGGCUGCUGGGUCCUUGGACAUGGAUGUGGAUUCGCCACCACAUCUUUCCACGGAGACCCUUGCUAAUCAGGAUUGAGGGGGCAAGAUCCUGUUGUAGUGUGCAAAUAUUGUGGACAAAUAUAUGCAUGUGAUAGAUCUACUCAUGGAACUAGCACCUUAUGGUACCAUCUAAGAUCCUUAUGCCCAAAAGAGCCACUCAAAGGUCAGGACAUGCAAAGGAAGGGCCAAGGGACACCAAAACAGUCUUACAGUAUUGAAGAUUGCCGCAAAGCGCUUGCUGAGAUGGUAAUAAUUGAUGAGAUGCCUUUUAGAUCUGUUGAAGGUGAAUGAUUCAGAAGGUAUUCCAAAGUGCUACAACCAAGGUUUGACCCACCUUCUAGAAUCAUAGUAGCAAGGGAUUGGAUGCAACGAUAUAUUGAAGAAAAGCCCAAACUGAAAAAGAUUUUGAAGAACCAUAGAAUCUGACUAACAACAGACACUUGGACCUCAAGUCAAAACAUAAAUUAUAUGAGUCUAACAGCCCAUUGGAUUGAUGAUCAUUAGAAGCUUCAGAAACAGAUCCUCAAAUUCUGUUCAAUUGCAGAUCACAAAGGGGAGACACUUGGAAAACGGGUCGAAGAAUGUUUGCUGGACUGGGGUAUUGAUCGCCUAUUCACAGUCACGGUUGACAAUGCAUCCUCCAAUGACAAACUAAUUGAAUACUUCAAGAGUGUGCGAAGACUGGAAUGGAGUUGUGUUAAAGAACAAAUUUCUUCAUAUGAGGUGCUGCGCCCAUAUAGUCAACUUAGUUGUGAAGAGUGAAGUUGAAGAACACAAUCACUCUAUCGAGAAGAUAAGAACUGCAGUUAAAUUUGUGAGGUCUUCACCAUCAAGAUUGAAAAUCUUCAAGAAAUGCGCAGAAUUAGAGAAAAUAUCCAGCAAAAGUCUUUUGACCUUGGACUUGGAGAUAGGAUGGAAUGCUACUUAUUUCAUGUUGGAGCAUGCUGAAAGGUUUGAGAAAGCUUUUGCAAGACUAGCAAAAGUGUGCAAGCCAUUCAAAGAAUACUUCCCAAACAGAGAUCCUCCCGAUCCAGAUGAUUGGCAAACUACAAGGCGAAUAUUGUGUUUCUUGAAACUAUUUGGAAAGGUCACAACUCGUCUCUCAGCCUCUUUACAUGUAACUUCAAGCAUUGUUUUCCAUGACAUAAUGUUGAUGCGUGUAAAAUUAAUUGAGAUUUUUGGAGGUGAAGAUCCAACAUUAUCUUCAAUGGCAUAUCUCAUGAAAAUCAAAUUUGACAAGUACUGGAAACAAGAAGGCAAUCUGAACUACUUAUUAUUUAUUGCUGUCAUUUUGGAUCCUAGAUACAAGCUUCAAUAUUUGGUAUUUUGCUUGGAACUUAUGUAUGACCAGAUGAAGGCAAAGAACUAGUUGAGAAAAUUGAAUCAGCUCUUAACGAAUUGUUUGGUUGCUAUGUUGAAUCUGUUAAUGCCUCUUCUUCUAGAAAUAGAGGUUCAAAUCAAUACCAGCUCACAUCAAUGUAGAUGAGGAGGAGGAUGAGAAUCCCUGGAAUAUGCUAGCAUCUCAAUUUGAGCGACACAUGGAGGAGGUUGAGACGGAACCAAAUGAUUCAGAGUUGUCGAGAUAUCUAGCUGAUAAGCGAGAGAAGAGACCUAAAGAGUUUGACAUUUUAGAUUAUUGGGAAGUGAGCUCGAAUAAGUAUCCUAUACUCUCCCUGUUGGCAAAGGAUGUGCUUGUUGUUCCGGCUUCUACGGUUUCUUCGGAGUCAGCUUUUAGCACGGGUGGACGUAUUAUAGAUCCUCUUCGCUGCAGUUUAUCAACUAGCACGGUGGAAGCAUUGAUUUGCACACAAAGUUGGUUACAGACAUAUCAAAAUAAAGUGAGUGCAAGAGAGGCUGCUGAAGACAUUCAAACUUAUGAGGGGAUUAGAGAAGAAUUUCUUUCAAAGGACUGUGUAGAUAACCAACAGCAGAUCGGUACGUCCCUUGUACCAGUGAACUGAACUGUGGUGAUUCAGUUUUCUAUAACAUUUAUUUAUUGUUGUAGCAACUACUACAGCUGUGGCCACUGCAUGCCUGCCUUAAAUCUUAAUGCGACUUUAUUUUGCUGCUAAUUAUGUGUAUCAUGAUAGUAGCUGAUAGCAGCAGCAUCUCAACCUAAUCCACACUCGUGUACAGAACAAACUCUCGAGUCUGGAGUCGUGAAUUAAUUAUUGAAUUAACACAAAAUUGUAGUACUAUUUUAACAAAGCAGAGCAACAUGUUUGAAUGCAUUAGCUGCCCGAUUCUGUUGGAACACCUCCUACUGAUGCUGGUGAUGCCCUGUCCAGCUGGGGCGCAAUACCAAUAUUAUGGUUCAUAUAUCCUGCACAUUCAUAGUAGUAUUUAUUCAGUGAGCAAUACCAAAGCCUGCAUGUAUGUUGUCAUUCUUUGAUUUUUAUCCUUCUUGUGUCGAUGGAUUUCUUUUUCUUCCAUGUCUGGUUCUUCAGUGAGCAAUACUCAUGUCAGUCUGUUAGUCUGCUAGCUUAGUCAGGUUCAGUUAGCGGGGUGGGAACCAGCUUGACCUGAUUAGGUGCCGGUUCGGAUUUUAUUCUAUUUUUUUCUGCACAGGAAACGAAAUGAUCUGCUCUGUUGGGCUGUUUGGACUCCUGGAAAGAUGACUCGGACCCGCCACCUUGGCGCGAGCGGCUACUUUUCAGUGUCCGUCCUCCAUGGACAGGUGGGUGAGGUCGCCGCCUCGCCGGGGACGGGGAAGAAAGGAGUAUGAUGAAACACUGGCAAGAUAAACAAGGAAAUCCUUUUUGUUUCGUUUUUUUAGUGAAAGGAUUUCUUUUAGUGAGAGGAUAGAAUCUCAUCUUGUGUAAUAUAUAAACCGACGCUUUAGGAACUCCGCACAAC